rnacentral:rRNA from 1 species
CCCUCCCGACUGUUUACCAAAAACACAGCACUCUGCUAACUCGUAAGAGGAUGUAUAGGGUGUGACGCCUGCCCGGUGCUCGAAGGUUAAUUGAUGGGGUUAGCAUUAGCGAAGCUCUUGAUCGAAGCCCGAGUAAACGGCGGCCGUAACUAUAACGGUCCUAAGGUAGCGAAAUUCCUUGUCGGUUAAAUACCGACCUGCAUGAAUGGCGUAACGAGAUGGGAGCUGUCUCAAAGAGGGAUCCAGUGAAAUUGUAGUGGAGGUGAAAAUUCCUCCUACCCGCGGCAAGACGGAAAGACCCCGUGGACCUUUACUAUAACUUGACACUGCUAUUUGGAUAAGAAUGUGCAGGAUAGGUGGGAGGCUUUGAUUAUAUGACGUCAGUUGUAUAGGAGCCAUUGUUGAGAUACCACUCUUUCUUAUUUGGGUAGCUAACCAGCUUGAGUUAUCCUCAAGUGGGACAAUGUCUGGUGGGUAGUUUGACUGGGGCGGUCGCCUCCCAAAUAAUAACGGAGGCUUACAAAGGUUGGCUCAGAACGGUUGGAAAUCGUUCGUAGAGUAUAAAGGUAUAAGCCAGCUUAACUGCAAGACAUACAAGUCAAGCAGAGACGAAAGUCGGUCUUAGUGAUCCGGUGGUUCUGUGUGGAAGGGCCAUCGCUCAAAGGAUAAAAGGUACCCCGGGGAUAACAGGCUGAUCUCCCCCAAGAGCUCACAUCGACGGGGAGGUUUGGCACCUCGAUGUCGGCUCAUCGCAUCCUGGGGCUGGAGCAGGUCCCAAGGGUAUGGCUGUUCGCCAUUUAAAGCGGUACGCGAGCUGGGUUCAGAACGUCGUGAGACAGUUCGGUCCCUAUCUGCCGUGGGCGUAAGAAGAUUGAAGAGAUUUGACCCUAGUACGAGAGGACCGGGUUGAACAAACCACUGGUGUAGCUGUUGUUCUGCCAAGAGCAUCGCAGCGUAGCUAAGUUUGGAAAGGAUAAACGCUGAAAGCAUCUAAGCGUGAAGCCAACUCUAAGAUGAAUCUUCUCUAAGCUCUCUAGAAGACUACUAGUUUGAUAGGCUGGGUGUGUAAUGGAUGAAAGUCCUUUAGCUGACCAGUACUAAUAGAGCGUUUGGCUUAUCUUUAAUAAAGCAU